CAUCAUCUCUGAUGUCUGGAUGGCAUGUCUUUUAUUACUUUCACUUUUAGUAAUAUCAGGUGAAUUUGCAUGAAUGGCUGGAUUUCCAUCCUUUUUGUCAGCCUCCUUGAAAACAGAAAAGGAAAAUACAUCAACAAGUCCUGUAGAAAGGGGCAAGACAAACACUUUGCAAGUUCAGUAAUUGUGAUGCAAAUACCUUGAACAAAUGAAAGAGUACAGUAAUUUUGAAAAGGCAGAGGUGGAACAUUUUGAAAACAGCAAAAUGAAUUCAGUUCACAAACAAACAAUGAUGAUGAUGAUAUUGAUGAUUAUGAUGACAAUAUGAAGAUAAUAUGGAAUGGAGAACAAUGAUGUUAGUUUGCAUUGAACAGACAAAAUGAUAAACAAAUGUAAUUUCAUCAUAAUUUGUUGUCUUAUUUUGUUGUUAAUGUAACCUAUUGUAAGGAAAAAAUAGUUGGCCCUAUAAUACAUCCUGGAUUUAUUUCAAAAUUUGUCACAAACAUUGUAAAUUACAGCAUUGAGACAAAUGUAAAUUGACCUGUGUUUAAACUCUGUGAUGAAAGUAGUGAUUUAUGUAGAUAAAACAUGUCUUUUACAAUAUUAUUAAAACAAAGCAGGUAUAUACUUGUUUUUCAACAGCUUAGAUAUUUGGAUAACUGCUGUUGUUUGGACAGUGUCUGUACCACAAUAUUUUCAAAGCUGAAUAAAUAGUCAUUGAUGUUUCCUAACAAAUAAACCACAGGUCAGGCUUUAUGAAAAUACAACUCAUGAUUAUCUACUUUCUUAUACUUACUUUGGAGUAAAUUGAAGUGACUGAGGACUCAAAGUCUGCAAAGAAAAAUACAAUUUUCUAACUUUCAAGGUAAAUCAGAACCACAUUUAGGUACAAUCACCAGUGUAAUCAUUCUUUGCCAAACCAUUGUGUUAAAUAUUUCCUUCAAUUCUAUAGAGUAAGAAAUUCAGUUUGAGCCACAUAUGCCAAACAGGAGCCUCUAUGUCUCAUGUAUAGAAGGGCAUCAAAAUGCACAAUAGCACACACACAAAAUGUAAACAUUUCUAAAGGUUGUCAAGUCUGAAAUUGUAGUGAAGUGGCAUAAGACAUCUCCAAACUUGACUUUUAUCAACUUAUGUAGAAUCUCAACAGAUGUCAGUUAAAUAACUAUCAUCCCCUUUUAUUGAACCCCUUUCUUGAAUAAGCCCCAAUCUUUGGUGUUUAUUUUCCCUCAUAAGAUUCCAAUUUCCUUAGGCAAACUCAAACAUAUUUCAAACUCUACUUGUAUUGUACCAUCCAUACAAAAUGCAUGCUCUUUAGGGAUAAUACGAAAAGAGAUACUUGAGAAACUGAGAACUGAGACAAGGGGCUGCUUUUAUAUUUUUGUGAAUUUGUUGUUGCAGCUUACAGUUAUGCAUGACAGUUUUGAUUUAGGGCCUUCAAAACUGAACAUUAUAUCACAUCUACAGAUGGUAUGUUCGGACAA